GGGUGUGGUUCAAUGGUAGAACGCGAGCUUCCCAAGCUUGAGACGAGGGAAGGCACCCUGUUUGGUCUCCA
rnacentral:tRNA from 1 species